GAUGAACGCUGGCGGCGUGCCUAAUACAUGCAAGUCGAGCGAACAGACGAGGAGCUUGCUCCUCUGACGUUAGCGGCGGACGGGUGAGUAACACGUGGAUAACCUACCUAUAAGACUGGGAUAACUUCGGGAAACCGGAGCUAAUACCGGAUAAUAUAUUGAACCGCAUGGUUCAAUAGUGAAAGACGGUUUUGCUGUCACUUAUAGAUGGAUCCGCGCCGCAUUAGCUAGUUGGUAAGGUAACGGCUUACCAAGGCAACGAUGCGUAGCCGACCUGAGAGGGUGAUCGGCCACACUGGAACUGAGACACGGUCCAGACUCCUACGGGAGGCAGCAGUAGGGAAUCUUCCGCAAUGGGCGAAUGCCUGACGGAGCAACUCCGCGUGAGUGAUGAAGGUCUUCGGAUCGUAAAACUCUGUUAUUAGGGAAGAACAAAUGUGUAAGUAACUAUGCACGUCUUGACGGUACCUAAUCAGAAAGCCACGGCUAACUACGUG
rnacentral:rRNA from 1 species